rnacentral:rRNA from 1 species
UACAGAGGGUGCAAGCGUUGCUCGGAAUCAUUGGGCGUAAAGGGCAAGUAGGUGGUCUCAUUUGUCUAGGGUGAAAUCCUUGAGCUUAACUCAAGAAGUGCCCUAGAAACGGUGGGACUAGAGUUCUGGAGAGGGUCGUGGAAUUCCCGGUGUAGCGGUGAAAUGCGUAGAGAUCGGGAGGAACACCAGAGGCGAAGGCGGCGACCUGGACAGAUACUGACGCUCAACUGCGAAAGCGUGGGGAGCAAACAGG